rnacentral:rRNA from 1 species
GGGAUUGCCCUAGUAACGGCGAGUGAAGCGGCAAUAGCUCAAAUUUGAAAGCUGGCCUUCUGGUCCGCAUUGUAAUUUGUAGAGGAUGCUUUUAGGCAGCCGCCGGUCUAAGUUCCUUGGAACAGGACGUCAUAGAGGGUGAGAAUCCCGUAUGUGACCGGCUCUGGCACCUUAUGUAAAGCUCCUUCGACGAGUCGAGUUGUUUGGGAAUGCAGCUCUAAAUGGGAGGUAAAUUUCUUCUAAAGCUAAAUACCGGCGAGAGACCGAUAGCGCACAAGUAGAGUGAUCGAAAGAUGAAAAGCACUUUGGAAAGAGAGUUAAAAAGCACGUGAAAUUGUUGAAAGGGAAGCGCUUGCAAUCAGACUUGGACUUGGCUGUUCAACCGGUCUUCUGACCGGCCCACUCAGUCUUGUCCAGGCCAGCAUCAGUUUCGGCGGCCGGAUAAAGGCCUUGGGAAUGUAGCUGUCCCUUCGGGGACAGUGUUAUAGCCCAGGGUGUAAUACGGCCAGCCGGGACUGAGGUCCGCGCUUCGGCUAGGAUGCUGGCGUAAUGGUUGUAAGCGGCCCGUCUUGAAACACGGACCAAGGAGUCUAACAUCUAUGCGAGUGUUAGGGUGUCAAACCCUUACGCGUAAUGAAAGUGAACGGAGGUGGGAACCCGCAAGGGUGCACCAUCGACCGAUCCUGAUGUCUUCGGAUGGAUUUGAGUAAGAGCAUAGCUGUUGGGACCCGAAAGAUGGUGAACUAUGCCUGAAUAGGGUGAAGCCAGAGGAAACUCUGGUGGAGGCUCGCAGCGGUUCUGACGUGCAAAUCGAUCGUCAAAUUUGGGUAUAGGGGCG